GGGGAAUCUUCCGCAAUGGACGCAAGUCUGACGGAGCAACGCCGCGUGUAUGAAGAAGGUCUUCGGAUUGUAAAGUACUGUUCUUGGGGAAGAAAGGAAGCCUUGAGAAGAUUGAGGUUCGCUGACGGUACCCAAGGAGGAAGCCCCGGCUAACUACGUGCCAGCAGCCGCGGUAAUACGUAGGGGGCGAGCGUUGUCCGGAAUUAUUGGGCGUAAAGGGCGCGUAGGCGGAUAAUUAAGUCCGGUGUGAAAGAUCAGGGCUCAACCGUGAGAUUGCAUCGGAAACUGGUUAUCUUGAGUGCAGGAGAGGAAAGUGGAAUUCCACGUGUAGCGGUGAAAUGCGUAGAUAUGUGGAGGAACACCAGUGGCGAAGGCGACUUUCUGGACUGUAACUGACGCUGAGGCGCGAAAGCGUGGGUAGCAAAC
rnacentral:rRNA from 1 species